rnacentral:rRNA from 1 species
GUAGGUGGCAAGCGUUGUCCGGAAUUAUUGGGCGUAAAGCGCGCGCAGGCGGUCCUUUAAGUCUGAUGUGAAAGCCCACGGCUCAACCGUGGAGGGUCAUUGGAAACUGGGGGACUUGAGUACAGAAGAGGAAAGCGGAAUUCCAAGUGUAGCGGUGAAAUGCGUAGAGAUUUGGAGGAACACCAGUGGCGAAGGCGGCUUUCUGGUCUGUAACUGACGCUGAGGCGCGAAAGCGUGGGGAGCAAACAGGAUUAGAUACCCUGGUAGUCCACGCCGUAAACGAUGAGUGCUAAGUGUUAGGGGGUUUCCGCCCCCCUUAGUGCUGCAGCUAACGCAUUAAGCACUCCGCCUGGGGAGUACGGCCGCAAGGCUA